rnacentral:rRNA from 1 species
UCUGUUGACCUAAGGCGAGGCCGAGAGGCGUAGUCGAUGGACAACAGGUUGAAAUUCCUGUACUGCACCGAAUCGUUAUGAGCGAUGGAGGGACGCAGGAGGCUAGCAGCGCGUGGUGCUGGAUACCACGUUCAAGCGUCAAGUCUGAGAGCGAGUCAAAUGCUUGCUCUCAUAAGGACAAGGCGUGAUGAGGAGCGAAAUUAAAGUAGCGAAGGCUGCGACGUCACACUGCCAAGAAAAGCUUCUAGCCAGAAACGGUGCACCCGUACCGCAAACCGACACAGGUAGUCGAGGAGAGUAUCCUCAGGUGAGCGAGAGAACUCUCGUUAAGGAACUCGGCAAAAUGGCCCCGUAACUUCGGGAGAAGGGGCGCUGGUCGCAAGAUCAGCCGCAGUGAAAAGGCCCAAGCAACUGUUUAUCAAAAACACAGGCAUCUGCAAAAUCGUAAGAUGAAGUAUAGGUGCUGACACCUGCCCGGUGCUGGAAGGUUAAGAGGAGAGCUUAGCGCAAGCGAAGGUUUGAAUUGAAGCCCCAGUAAACGGCGGCCGUAACCAUAACGGUCCUAAGGUAGCGAAAUUCCUUGUCGGGUAAGUUCCGACCUGCACGAAAGGUGUAAUGAUUUGGGCACUGUCUCAACGAGAGACUCGGUGAAAUUAUAAUACCCGUGAAGAUGCGGGUUACCCGCGACAGGACGGAAAGACCCCAUGGAGCUUUACUGCAGUUUAAUAUUGGGUAUCUGUCAAGCAUGUACAGGAUAGGUAGGAGCCGGAGAAGAUAGGACGCCAGUCUUAUCUGAGGCGCUGUUGGGAUACUACCCUUGCUUGACGGAUGCUCUAACUCAGGCCUGUGAUCCAGGCCAAGGACAGUGUUUGACGGGCAGUUUGACUGGGGCGGUCGCCUCCUAAAGUGUAACGGAGGCGCCCAAAGGUUCCCUCAGAAUGGUUGGAAAUCAUUCGCAGAGUGUAAAGGCAAAAGGGAGCUUGACUGCGAGAGAGACAACUCGAGCAGGUACGAAAGUAGGGCUUAGUGAUCUGGUGGUACCGCAUGGAAGGGCCAUCACUCAACGGAUAAAAGCUACCCUGGGGAUAACAGGCUUAUCUCCCCCAAGAGUUCACAUCGACGGGGAGGUUUGGCACCUCGAUGUCGGCUCGUCGCAUCCUGGGGCUGAAGUCGGUCCCAAGGGUUGGGCUGUUCGCCCAUUAAAGCGGCACGCGAGCUGGGUUCAGAACGUCGUGAGACAGUUCGGUCCCUAUCCGUCGUGGGCGCAGGAAAUUUGAGAGGAGCUGUCCUUAGUACGAGAGGACCGGGAUGGACGCACCGCUGGUGUACCAGUUGUCUUGCCAAAGGCAUCGCUGGGUAGCUAUGUGCGGACGGGAUAAGCGCUGAAAGCAUCUAAGUGCGAAGCCCCCCCCAAGAUGAGAUUUCCCAUUUCUUCAAGAAAGUAAGACACCUCAGAGACGAUGAGGUAGAUAGGCCGGGAGUGGAAGAGCCGUGAGGCUUGGAGCGGACCGGUACU